ensembl:lncRNA
UGCAGCUGUUCCUGCACACAGAUGUUCACACGUCUCUCAGGCUGAAUACGAAACACUCUGCAGCUGAAACUGUUGUUUUAUGAUCAAAGUGCAGGUGGACACACAGCUUUAAGUUCAGCUUUCAACAACUUUAUGUGAAUUAACGGUUUUAGACCACAGACAUGUAGACUCAAACUCAGAAUGCUGAAAGCAGAAUCGGGAUUAACAGGUUUGUUUUUCCAGUACAGAGGAUAAAGAUGAGAAGAUGGCAGGAGGAAUACUUGGACUUCUGUUCUCAGUUCCAGAGCUGAUUGAGAACUGGAACAACAUGGACAUCUGUGAGACAGAAGCCAGUAAGAGCCUGAAAGAGAACGCUAAGGCCAUACGGACCGAGUCUGAGAACAUGAAGAAAGGCCUUCAGGAAAUCCUAAAUGUCUUUCGGAGGUUAGCCAAAGUUAAAGACUGCAUAGACAACAGGACGAGGAGCAGCGAUGACAAGAAAGAAUUAAUAGAGUUUGCAGUGGAACAUUGCAAAGAUGAAGAUGCUCUGCAGUGGCUGAGAGAAAACUCAGAGUUUGAAACUUUCUUCAAACUCAUUGAUUUGUUUCGAUUCUUGACAAAAAAAAAGGAAGAAAAGAAGCUCCACUCCAACAACAUUGACAUCACCUUUGUAGCACAUGGAUCGAUCACAGACUCCAUGAUAUCAGCCAACUGUUUGCUGCCUCUGUCCAAAAUCACUGAUGUGGUCCUGUACUCUCCCUGGAACUGUGCCAUCGAUGCUAAAGUAGCCUACGGUGUUGCUACAGGACUCAUAGAGCCUCAGCACAGAGUUUUCAGCUGUGAAACUCCUGAUCAGGAACGUUGUUGCUGCUGUCAUUGUCGCUCCUGUAGAAAUAAAAAAGUCUGUGAAGUUCCUGAUGCAGAUCAUCAACCCACAAAACGUCCAGAUGAGUGGAACUCCAUGAAGAAGGCUGGAGAUCGAAAGAUUCCUAACAUCAUGCUGCGUCCACUACGACAACGCAAGGACGGUGCUUGGAAAAAUUUUGAGAUUCUCAAGGAUAAGUAUUGUGAACCUGAGGGAAACCGCAUCAUUGUCCCAUUUAUCUUCCCAGGGAGGAGAAAAGAAGAAGUCCCAUUCUUUGUUGUCUCCUUGGCUCUGUCUCAGGUGCUCCUGUUCUCCAGGUUUCAAGCCACACUCCAUCUCACUGCCUGUUUGGGAAAAAUAUCCAGAGAAAUAAAAAUUGAUGAAGACACCCUGAAGGAGCAGUAUGCCUGCACCAUCGACAGCACAAGAAUGACAUCUUCACAAGGCAAGCCACGACAAAAGAACAAAAGAUUGUUCAAAGCUUUUAAAGUUCUGUUUGGUUAGACAUCCUGCAUUUCUCAAAGAUGAAAGAAAUUGUAGAGUCAUAAGGUGUUGAAAGUUAUUUUUUGUCACAUACCCACCUUGGUCAGUCAGACCAUCUUUUUUCUUCUCCAUUUCCCCGCACACAAAAACCUUAAGACCAACGGGCAGAACUGCUAAAGUUUGGCUGGAGGGAGCUGUCUCUUAUCUACAGGACUCUUCCAUUCUGUCACUUGAAAACACUGAAUUCAAAAUCUGUCCCCUCAUCUGGAGGAAAACACAUCAUCCGUGCUGUCCUACAUUAACUUCACUGUAGGUGUAUCCAAAUGAGAAACCGUGGAUAAACAGUGAAAUCAAGUGACACCAGGUUUCAAAUGUGCAAACUAUGAAUAGAGGAGGACCUUAGUGCUAAUACCUGUAAUACCUGUACAUCACAGAUGUUUACACAAAUCAACGACUCUGUCAGCAUGGUAGAGGAACUCAACUGCUUUUUUGCACGAUUUCAUAGCUGCAGUCACAACCCAGUCAUAAACCAACAGGUGACAACCCAAGGUCCCCUCCUCUACUCACUCAUCAACUCAUCAGGUACAGCUGCCUCUCUGUACCAUCAACACAAGGAAAGCAGCCGGUCCUGAUGGAGCGCAUGGAUGCUUGCUACAGGCCUGUGCUAACCAAAUAACAGAGGUUUCUUUAUCCAGUUUCAGCCAACAUUGCAAACAAGACUUGCAGCUAAUAGUGGUGGAAGGGGACAAGCUAAAGAAGGUGAACAAAAAUCGUUGGUAAAAACAGACAAAACUGAGAAAACAACAGUGGACGGGAUGGUGGCUGAGGAGCACACUGUCUGUAAUGAUGCCCAUGACCUAAACUUGGCAGUGGACGUGGAAGAUAGAAUUGUCGCCAUCUGCACAGACAUUAGGUUGAUGGCUGCAGAGGUGAUGUCUGAAGCUAGGCAACAUAAUAACCAAUCUGAAGACAACAGCUGACAGCGUGGGGGAAACUUUGUAUACUUUCACAUGAAUACCCUGCAGAAAUGUUGGGAAAGAGUCGCAUCAGAUGGAGAACUGCAUAACAUUUUACAUUUUAUUAGCCCUAAAUUAAAGUAUGUCCAGAUGGGUGAAAGUUACCUUCUACUGAGAGAAGGUAACAACGCUAACACAGACUGUACUUGGAAGUGAGAUUGACUUUUCUUUUGUAUGAAAUAUUCUGAGCAGCUUACCUGUCAAAGAUAAAUACCUUAAGGAUUUUGGUUCAGCCAGUAACAAAAGAACAGUUUUGACCACGAAUGGUUGAAAUGUGACCCAACUAAGAAUGACUAGACUGCCAUGUUGAGUAAUAUUGAGACAAAUACUUUUUUUUUUCCAAUUUACAGGCGGAUCCAUUCCCUAAAAAAAAUCAUUGAAAUGGAUGCAUUAUACA